UACGGGGGGGGCAAGCGUUGUUCGGAAUUACUGGGCGUAAAGGGCUCGUAGGCGGCCAACUAAGUCGGAUGUGAAAUCCCCAGGCUCAACUUGGGAACUGCAUCCGAUACUGGAUGGCUUGAAUUCGGGAGAGGGAUGCAAAAUUCCAGGUGUAGCGGUGAAAUGCGUAGAUAUCUGGAGGAAUACCGGUGGCGAAGGCGGAUCUCUGGGCCAUUACUGACGCUGAGGAGCGAAAGCGUGGGGAGCGAACAGG
rnacentral:rRNA from 1 species